GCGGAGGAAAAGAAACCAACAGGGAUUGCCCCAGUAACGGCGAGUGAAGCGGCAACAGCUCAAAUUUGAAAUCUGGCGCAAGCCCGAGUUGUAAUUUGCAGAGGAUGCUUCAGGGCAGCGACCGGUCUAAGUUCCUUGGAACAGGACGUCGUAGAGGGUGAGAAUCCCGUAUGCGACCGGUUGGCACCCGUCACGUAGCUCCUUCGACGAGUCGAGUUGUUUGGGAAUGCAGCUCUAAAUGGGAGGUAAAUUUCUUCUAAAGCUAAAUACCGGCCAGAGACCGAUAGCGCACAAGUAGAGUGAUCGAAAGAUGAAAAGCACUUUGGAAAGAGAGUUAAAAAGCACGUGAAAUUGUUGAAAGGGAAGCGCAUGCAACCAGACUUGUCGGCGGUGUUCCGCCGGUCUUCUGACCGGUCCACUCGCCGCCGGCAGGCCAGCAUCAUCUGGGCGCGCCGGACAAAGGCGCGGGGAAUGUAGCUCCUCGGAGUGUUAUAGCCCCGCGCACAAUACGGCGCCGCUCGGGUGAGGUCCGCGCUUCGGCUAGGAUGCUGGCGUAAUGGUUGUCUGCGGCCCGUCUUGAAACACGGACCAAGGAGUCUAACAUCUAUGCGAGUGUUCGGGUGUCAAACCCCUACGCGGAAUGAAAGUGAACGGAGGUGGGAAGCGCAAGCUGCACCAUCGACCGAUCCUGAUGUCUUCGGAUGGAUUUGAGUAAGAGCAUAGCUGUUGGGACCCGAAAGAUGGUGAACUAUGCCUGAAUAGGGUGAAGCCAGAGGAAACUCUGGUGGAGGCUCGCAGCGGUUCUGACGUGCAAAUCGAUCGUCAAAUUUGGGUAUAGGGGCGAAAGACUAAUCGAACCAUCUAGUAGCUGGUUCCUGCCGAAGU
rnacentral:rRNA from 1 species